CCACUUUAUUUAUCUGCGCCUAUGAGUUACAAUCACCCAUCCUCUGCGUAAAUGCCCAUUUGACUUCCAGGAUAGCCACGUAACAAGGAAGCUGACAACAGCAAAAAUAACAGUAAUAAGAAAAAAACUU
ensembl:misc_RNA